UUAGGGUGGAUGGUUCAUACAAUCUUAUUCAUUGUCAUUGAAUACUGCCAGCCCAGCAACCUGACAGAUAUGCAUCACACUUACUAAUACAUUCAUGCUCAUAGGCUAUUUUGCAGUCACUUAUAGGUGAUGACCUAUGUAAAUUGAUAUUUGUUUUAUAUGAUGCUACAUUAGGUACCUACCUACUAUCAUAUUUAUAUUUAUUAUAUCUUGCUCUUCAUAGCAUCUCAUGGUUCACAGAAUAUUUCUGUUAAAGAAAGCUGGUCACAUUUUGUCAGAAAACAUUGGCUUGUACAAUGCAAAAAAUCACAAUUCAUUCAUCUUUGAUGUUUUGAAUGCUUCAAAAUAUGCUGAAUCAAAGAAAUUGUUUGCCUAUUUUUCAACUAGCCAUGUGUGGCAAUCCAGUACAUCUCACAAACGCACUUCAUCUGCAAGUGUUCCUCCUGAGCGGCCGCCGGGCGCUGGAUGUCCCCCGAAUGACCCGACCGGCCAGCCGGAGAGCGCCUCGGCCGACGGCGGCGACGACGCCCGGCAGCCGCCUGAGCCGCCCACCGUCUGCUGCAUGUCCGGCUGCGCCAACUGCGUCUGGAUCGAGUACGCCGAGCGGCUCGCCGACUACUACGCCGACGGCGGUGACGCGGCGCGGCGCGCCAUCCGCGAGCACGUACAGGACCCGAGCCUGCGAGCGUUCCUGCUGCUGGAACUUAGGACCAGAUGAUGACCCAUCCCAGCCCCAUGCACAAUGUGGCAAGAGCGAUGGUGGCAACAGCCGUUCGAGAUAAAAAUAUACAGAACAUGUUUGUUCCUGACUAAAAACCGUAGAAGGCAGUGUGCAGCGUAUGCACCCAACUUUCUUAACACCAUUGGAUUGUUACAAGGACUUGUACUGUAGACACAGCUCCAUUCAUACUGCGGCCCGCGUCGAAAUGCGCGCCGCGCGAAUCGCUAGUGCCCGUAGUUCGUAAUGUGUAGUGAAAUUUGCUCGAAAUGUGAAUUGCCCAGCCGGUGAAAUUUUAGUUGGAUGUACGAUUGAAGUGAAGCGUCUUCGCGUAUACAUGAUAACGUGCUGAAAUGACUGUUCAUAGGUUGCCUGUGAUACCAACGCCGGAGCGAGAAGCCAUGGAACUUCUGUUGUGGUGCUGUUAUGCUGCCGGAUUGUUGCAAUAUUCAGUUCGAAUUAAUUAUGAAAUUUUUCUUCAAUAUAUUUUAUAAUGGA
rnacentral:lncRNA from 1 species